GACAGAGGGUGCAAACGUUGUUCGGAUUUACUGGGCGUAAAGCGCGUGUAGGCGGCCAGGUAGGUCUGCUGUGAAAACUCGAGGCUCAACCUCGAGAUGUCGGCGGAAACCAUCUGGCUAGAGUCCGGAAGAGGAGAGUGGAAUUCCUGGUGUAGCGGUGAAAUGCGCAGAUAUCAGGAAGAACACCCGUGGCGAAGGCGGCUCUCUGGGACGGUACUGACGCUGAGACGCGAAAGCGUGGGGAGCGAACAGG
rnacentral:rRNA from 1 species